UUGUUGUGUGUCCCAGAAAACAAGUCACUUUAUGACCACAUUUUACCAUUCUUUCAACACAAAGACAAAAUCCCACAAAAGGUUAUUCCAAAGACUUUACAGUGACAAAGUUCUUUAGAACAUCAAAAUAUGGAUAUUAUAUGAUUAGGUGAUGCUUUAGGAUAGUACCGGAGGAAGAGAGGGAGCAGACAGUUGACCUCUUCACAGAAUUAAAUAUCCACAAUCAGUUAGACUG